rnacentral:rRNA from 1 species
CCCGAAAACCAAGUGAUCUAUCCAUGGCCAGGAUGAAGGUGCGGUAACACGCACUGGAGGUCCGAACCCACUAAUUUUGAAAAAUUAGGGGAUGAGCUGUGGAUAGGGGUGAAAAGGCUAAAACAAAACUUGGAAAUAGCUGGUUCUCCCCGAAAACUAUUUAGGUAGUGCCUCGUGCGGACACUUCCGGGGGUAGAGCACUGUAAUCGUUGGGGGGGUCAUUGCGAUCUACCCCGCGAUAGCAAACUCCGAAUACCGGAAAGUGAUACACGGGAGACAGACGGUGGGUGCUAACGUCCAUCGUCAAGAGGGAAACAACCCAGACCGCCAGCUAAGGUCCCAAAUCCAUGGCUAAGUGGAAAACGAGGUGGGAAGGCAUAGACAGCUAGGAGGUUGGCUUAGAAGCAGCCACCUUUAAAGAAAGCGUAAUAGCUCACUAGUCGAGUCGUCCUGCGCGGAAGAUGUAACGGGGCUCAAGCCAUGAACCGAAGCUGCGGAUGCAUUUAAUGCA